GGGUGCCUGUACCUCUCCAGUCCAGCUGAGCAAGGAGGCUCAGGAAUUAAUGAGGAUGGGGCUUGUGUAGCACGAUGGUUCUAGGCCAUCCCUUUUCCAUGGCUCAAGUCCAUUGAAGGCAGCCUCCAAAAUCAGGUUGCCUGAUCCUCCUAGUGCCACAAUCCCAGUCCUAGCUAGAACUUGCCAUGGUUCUUCUCCCUAAAAGUUCCCAGGGGACAGGAGACAGGUGUUGCUUUUCUAAUGGAGCAGGACCUCGCAUGGACGGGGCCCUCCAAGCCUGCUAACACCCUGUUCGCACUGACUCAGCCCUGGAAGAGAGGCCGGCAGUGAUGACCUCGCCCCUGUACCUGGAGAUCAUCAUCUAUUGCACAGGGGCCUUCCUCAUCUCCUGCAUGGUGGGGUCGGUCAUCGUCUACAAGAUGAAGAGUGGUACCAAGAAGAGUGACUUCCACAGCCAGAUGGCUGUGCACAAGCUGGCCAAGAGCAUCCCUCUGCGCAGACAGGUAACAGUGUCUGCUGACUCCAGUGCAUCCAUGAACUCUGGGGUUCUUCUGGUUCGGCCAUCACGGCUCUCCUCCAGUGGGACUCCCAUGCUAGCAGGGGUCUCUGAGUAUGAGCUUCCCGAAGACCCUCGCUGGGAGCUGCCUCGGGACAGACUGGUCUUAGGCAAACCCCUGGGAGAGGGCUGCUUUGGGCAGGUGGUGUUGGCAGAGGCUAUCGGGCUGGACAAGGACAAACCCAACCGUGUGACCAAAGUGGCUGUGAAGAUGUUGAAGUCGGACGCAAC
rnacentral:sRNA from 1 species